AUGUCAAAACAUCUCACGGUACUCCAUCCGCUGGCCCAGAAGACGCUGGCAUUCCUGAAUACCUUGGCAUCAGGAGUAUCUCUCAACAACUUUUCCUUGGGUCUAAUAUCAGUUAAGGGGAAUAAUAGAAAAUUCUGUAAAUCCAACAUAUUCACUGGGGGAAAGUGAAAGGAAAAGUUUCUAAGAAAAAACAAUGAAUUACAUAUUAUCAUUCAGAGGCUCUGGCAAAAAAAAAUAAUGAAUACCUUUUGGAGUCUGUGGGAAUAAGGGAGAAGAAAUUGGUAACCAAAUCAAGUGCUCUCAUUCACCCCAGUCCAGAAUCCUUCCUCACCCAGUUUUGAUGGAAGGUCCCUGUUAUCUUCAAAUAUUAUAAUUUGAGCUCCAUGGUUCAGAUAACUAUUUUGUUUUUUUUAACCAGCAUUUUCUUCAUGGAAUAGUAGGGGAUUCUGACAUAGAUAAGAUGACUCAGAAGAUCUUUGCACUUUCAUUGGAAACACACACACACACACACACACACACACACACUCACACAUACACCCCACCUAGGCACCCAACC
rnacentral:lncRNA from 1 species